UUGGAAUGGUGUCGGUCAUAAUCUAAAAUAUUUGAAAUUUACAGUGGUGAUGAUGAACUACCUAAUUUGUUGAAAUAGUAGGCAUAGAUCUUGCAAAUAUUGUAUGGGCACAAAAUUGUAUGGGUAUGUAAAUCAAUUUCAUAAUCUAAAACGGUCUGCGUUGACUUUCGUUGACAGGCCAAAUUUAUCCAAAUUGAUCCUAUGUUCUUCUUCGUGAUGAAUGACUGAUUCGUAAUUAUGUGUUCUUGAUAUCCAACAAUAAUUAUGACAUUUUCUAUAACUGACCCGUUUAUGACAUUUUUUUUUCUUUUUUUAACUGACCCGUUUAUGACAAUUUUUUUUUCUUUUUUUUAACUGACCCGUUUAUGAUGCAGAUAGGUGGCAGUCUGACAAAUCGCCAACACUUUAUGUAUUCAUUUGUUGCAGUGCCCGUGAACUUGCUACCAUCGAGACAUAUCUGGUUGGUUGCUAAGAGGAGGUGAUUUGGGUGUAUGCAUGGUUGCAUCUCGGUUGGCUAUUGCAACUGCACCACCUGCUUACGUGUUUAGCAGAGUCAUUGGCUAGCAGAGUUUGGUAAGACGUUGCAAAAAUUGCAAGCUCUUGUUUGCCGAAAACAAUACUUGGAGUUUAUACAUGACCAAAUGAAAAUACCCAACUUAAGUUUUAGAGGAACCCAGUUGAAGAUAUUUGCUUGGAUUUCACACUUCCUGGCUAUCUUGAUUUUGUUCUCAAAACAGGCGAUGAUAUUCUACAUCAUAAUCAUGUCUUUAUGUUAUUCUAGCGUUUAUUACAAGAUUCUCUUACGGGUUGAUUUAAACAAUUUGGACAAUUUGUAAGAGCAUUUCUCUGUUAGUUGAUGCCACUAUCAAGACUGGUUUCACAUGACAGAUGGAAGCAUUUAGAGCUGGAUUAAUCA